AGUUUAUGUACGAAAACCGCUCCAAUGGUUUAAGACCACAUCCAUAUCCAUACCAAAUGGGACAAUGUCUACUAAAGAAAAUCUCAACGGAUCCCAAGGCCCACCGCAGAACCUGAUGCAAACGAUCUGAAAGAUUGAUAGGAGCGGACCCUUUGAAUGCAGGCCUUUUGGGGAUACAAUACACAGACCUCCAACCAUGGCAGUGCAUCUUG
rnacentral:misc_RNA from 1 species